AUUGAACGCUGGCGGCAGGCCUAACACAUGCAAGUCGAACGAGUGGCGGACGGGUGAGUAAUGGCUGGGAAACUGCCUGGUGGCGGGGGAUAACAACUGGAAAGGGUAGCUAAUAACGCAUACCAUCAGAUGGUCCCAGAUGGGAUUAGCUUGUUGGUGGGGUAACGGCUCACCAGGGCGACGAUCCCUAGCUGGUCUGAGAGGAGGACCAGCCAAACUGGAACAGUGAUACGGUCCAGACUCCGACGGGCGGCAGCAGUGGGGAAGAUUGGACAAUGGGCGAAAGCCGGAUGAAGCCAUGCCGCGUGUAUGAAGAAGGCCUUCGGGUUGUAAAGUACUUGCAGCGGGGAGGCGUUACCCGCAGAAGAAGCACCGGCUAACUCCGUGCCAGCAGCCGCGGUAAUAC
rnacentral:rRNA from 1 species